rnacentral:rRNA from 1 species
GAUGAACGCUAGCGGCAGGCUUAACACAUGCAAGUCGAGGGGUAGAGGAAGCUUGCUUCCUUGAGACCGGCGCACGGGUGCGUAACGCGUAUGCAACCUACCUUUUACAGAGGGAUAGCCCAGAGAAAUUUGGAUUAAUACCUCAUGGUAUAUAUCAUUCGCAUGUUUGAUAUAUUAAAGUUCCAACGGUAAAAGAUGGGCAUGCGUCCUAUUAGCUAGAUGGUAAGGUAACGGCUUACCAUGGCAACGAUAGGUAGGGGUCCUGAGAGGGAGAUCCCCCACACUGGUACUGAGACACGGACCAGACUCCUACGGGAGCAGCAGUGAGGAAUAUUGGACAAUGGGCGCAAGCCUGAUCCAGCCAUGCCGCGUGCAGGAAGAAGCAUCUAUGGUGUGUAAACUGCUUUUGACGGAAGAAACACUCCUUCGUGAAGGAGCUUGACGGUACCGUAAGAAUAAGGAUCGGCUAACUCCGUGCCAGCAGCCG